UGGUUGGGUUGGGUUGGAAGGGUCCUGGAAGAUCACUGAGACAUGGAAUGGCUGGGUUGGGUAGGAAGGGUCCUGGAAGGUCAUAAAAUCAUGGAAUAGUCAGAUUGGGUUGGAAGGGUCCUGGAAGGGCACAGAGCCAUGAAAUGGUCAGAUUGGGUUGGAAGGGUCCUGGAAGAACACCGAGACAUGGAAUGGCUAGGUUGGAAGGGUCCUGGAAGGGCACAGAGCCAUGGAAUGGUUGGAUUGGGUUGGAAGGGUCCUGGAAGGUCAUAAAGCCAUGGAAUGGUUGGGUUGGAAGGGUCCUUGAAGGUCAGAGAGCCAUGGAGUGGUUGGGUUGGAAGGGUCCUGAAAGGUCAAAAAAACAGGGAAUGCUUGGGUUGGAAGGGUCCUGGAAGAACACUGAGCCAUGGAAUGGCUCGGUUGGGCUGCAAGGGUCCUUAAAGGUCAAAGAAUCAGGGAGUGCUUGGGUUGGAAGGGUCCUCGAAGGUCACUGAGACAUGGAAUGGUUGGGUUGGAAGGGUCCUGGAAGAGCACUGAGCCAUGGAAUGCCUGGGUUGGAAAGGUCCUGAAAGGUCAAAGAAACAGGGAGUGGUUGGGUUGGAAGGGUCCUUGAAUGUCAUGGAACUAAGGAAUGGUUGGGUUGGAAGGGUCCUUGAAGGUCACAGAGCCAUGGAAUAGCUGGGUUGGGUUGGAAGGGUCCUGGAAGAUCACAGAACCAUGGAAUGGUUGGGUUGGAAGGAUCCUUGAAAAUCAUGGAACUGAGGAAUGGUUCGGUUGGAAGGGUCCUGAAAGGUCACAGAACCAUGGAAUGGUUGGGCUGGAAGGGUCCUGAAAGAUCACAGAACCAUGGAAUGGUUGGGUUGGAAAGGUCCUUGAAGGUCACAGAACCAUGGAACGGUCAGGCUGGAUUGGAAAGGUCCUUGAAGGUCACAGAACCAUGGAAUGGUUGGGUUGGAUUGGAAAGGUCCUCAAAGAUCACCGAACCAUGGAAUGGUCAGGUUGGAUUGGAAAGGUCCUUGAAGGUCACAGAAACAUGGAAUAGUGGGAUUGGAUUGGAAAGGUCCUUGAAGAUCACAGAACCAUGGAAUGGUCAGGUUGGAUUGGAAAGGUCCCUGAACGUCACAGAACCACACAAUGGUCUGGUUGGAUUGGAAAGGUCCUGGAAGGUCACAGAACCAUGGAAUGGUCAGGUUGGGUUGGAAAGGUCCUUGAAGGUCACUGAGACAUGGAAUGUUCAGAUUGGGUUGGAAGGGUCCUGGAAGGUCACUGAGACAUGGAAUGGUUGGGUUGGAAGGGUCCUGGAAGGUCAGAGAGCCAUGGAGUAGUUGGGUUGGAAGGGUCCUGAAAGGUCAAAGAACCAGGGAAUGCUUGGGUUGGAAGGGUCCUGGAAGAACACUGAGCCAUGGAAUGGCUGGGUUGGGCUGCAAGGGUCCUUAAAGGUCGAAGAAUCAGGGAGUGCUUGGGUUGGAAGGGUCCUCGAAGGUCACUGAGACAUGGAAUGGUUGGGUUGGAAGGGUCCUGGAAGAGCACUGAGCCAUAGAAUGGCUGGGUUGGAAAGGUCCUGAAAGGUCAAAGAACCAGGGAGUGGUUGGGUUGGAAGGGUCCUGGAAGAUCACAGAACCAUGGAAUGGUUGGGCUGGAAGGGUCCUGAAAGAUCACUGAGACAUGGAAUGGUUGGGUUGGAAGGGUCCUUGAAGGUCACAGAGCCAUGGAAUGGUUGGGUUGGAUUGGAAAGGUCCUUGAAGGUCACAGAACCAUGGAAUGGUCAGGUUGGAUUGGAAAGGUCCUUGAAGGUCACAGAAUCAUGGAAUAGUGGGAUUGGAUUGGAAACGUCCUUGAAGAUCACAGAACCUUGGAAUGGUUGGGUUGGAUUGGAGAGGUCCUUGAAGAUCACAGAACCAUGGAAUGGUUGGGUUGGGUUGGAAAGGUCCUUGAAGAUCACAGAACCAUGGAAUGAUCAGGUUGGAUUGGAAAGGUCCUGGAAGGUCACAGAACCAUGGAAUAGUGGGAUUGGAAGGGUCCUUGAAGGUCACAGAAUCAUAGAAUGGUCGGGUUGGACUGUUAAGGUCCUUGAAGGUCACAGAAACAUGGAAUAGUGGGAUUGGAUUGAAAAGGUCCUUGAAGAUCACCGAACCACGGAAUGGUCUGGUUGGAUUGGAAAGGUCCUGGAAGGUCACAGAACCAUGGAAUGGUCGGGUUGGAUUGGAAAGGUCCUUGAAGGUCACAGAA
ensembl:lncRNA